rnacentral:lncRNA from 1 species
GCUUAUUUAAAGAGACCUUCUCUAAGGCUUUAAUCAUGAGAUUUCUAGUAGUCCCAUGCCUCCCUCUCUUCUCCCCUCUAGUUCCAACACCCAAGAUGGUUGGGCGUCGUCCAUCUCCAUGUCCAAAAGGAGUUUGGGCAUCCUCUUUGGUGGUUGAUUUUCAAACCUUGAUUGCUUCAUAAUCAAGGGAAGGAAAGUAAGUAAAGAACAGAAGAAAAAGAUCAAGAAAUUAAUCGUGAUUGAGGCUACAAUCAUAUUCGUACAGUGAUCAUUCUUGAAGAAGAAAGAUCAACACCAUAGAGAGCUGCUCUAGAGUGAUCCUAAGUGAUACUCAUAG